UACGGAGGGGGCUAGCGUUGUUCGGAAUUACUGGGCGUAAAGGGCGUGUAGGCGGCUCUGCCAGUCAGGCGUGAAAGCCCCGGGCUUAACCUGGGAACUGCGCUUGAUACUGCGGAGCUAGAGUUCGGGAGAGGAGAGUGGAAUUCCCAGUGUAGAGGUGAAAUUCGUAGAUAUUGGGAAGAACACCAGUGGCGAAGGCGGCUCUCUGGACCGAUACUGACGCUGAGGCGCGAAAGCGUGGGGAGCAAACAGG
rnacentral:rRNA from 1 species